UUCGCAGAGGUGGGCCCCAAAUUUAGCUGCAAAGCUGUCUCCAGCCAAUACACAACCAGAGUUGAAGACUAUGGUUUCUCCCUGACCAUUCUUUCUGUUUCAUUUCUUCACUCCAACUGUGCCUGCUUUUCAACAUCCUUGGGUGUGCACACCACCACGCCCAGCUAAUUUUUGUAUUUUUAGUACAGACACGGUUUCACCUUGUUGGUCAGGCUGGUCUCAAACUCCUGUCAUUUUCUUAAGAACAUUUUCCUUUUUUUUCUGGCUUACUUUAUUGUAAGAAU
rnacentral:lncRNA from 10 species